rnacentral:rRNA from 16 species
CACGGAGCUUUCGAUGAAGCCGGGGCGUGAGCCAUCCGGUGGAGAGAUCACUAGCGAGAAUGAUGACAUGAGUAGCGACAAAGAGUGUGAGAGACACUCUCGCCGAAAGUCCAAGGGUUCCUGCUUAAAGCUAAUCUGAGCAGGGUAAGCCGACCCCUAAGGCGAGGCCGAAAGGCGUAGUCGAUGGGAACCAGGUUAAUAUUCCUGGGCCAGAUGGAAGUGACGGAUCUCGAGGGUAGUUCAUCCUUAUCGGAUUGAAUGGGCUGCUUAGAGGUCCCUGGAAAUAGCUCCAUCGCUAGAUCGUACCCUAAACCGACACAGGUGGACAGGUAGAGAAUACCAAGGCGCUUGAGAGAACGAUGUUGAAGGAACUCGGCAAAAUACCUCCGUAAGUUCGCGAGAAGGAGGCCCGGUUUCUACGCAAGUGGAAGCUGGGGGCACAAACCAGGGGGUGGCGACUGUUUAUUAAAAACACAGGGCUCUGCGAAGUCGUAAGACGACGUAUAGGGUCUGACGCCUGCCCGGUGCCUGAAGGUUAAAAGGAGGGGUGAGAGCUCUGAAUUGAAGCCCAGGUAAACGGCGGCCGUAACUAUAACGGUUCUAAGGUAGCGAAAUUCCUUGUC